AUUGAACGCUGGCGGCAGGCCUAACACAUGCAAGUCGAGCGGAUGAAGGGAGCUUGCUCUCUGAUUUAGCGGCGGACGGGUGAGUAAUGCCUAGGAAUCUGCCUGGUAGUGGGGGAUAACGUUCCGAGAGGAACGCUAAUACCGCAUACGUCCUACGGGAGAAAGCGGGGGAUCUUCGGACCUCGCGCUACCAGAUGAGCCUAGGUCGGAUUAGCUAGUUGGUGAGGUAAAGGCUCACCAAGGCGACGAUCCGUAACUGGUCUGAGAGGAUGAUCAGUCACACUGGAACUGAGAAACGGUCCAGACUCCUACGGGAGGGAGCAGUGGGGAAUAUUGGACAAUGGGCGAAAGCCUGAUCCAGCCAUGCCGCGUGUGUGAAGAAGGUCUUCGGAUUGUAAAGCACUUUAAGUUGGGAGGAAGGGUUGUAGAUUAAUACUCUGCAAUUUUGACGUUACCGACAGAAUAAGCACCGGCUAACUUCGUGCCAGCAGCCGCCGUAAAAC
rnacentral:rRNA from 1 species